GUCAUGGACACCCGUUGGUUGUGGAACCGGUGGAACAGAGGCAGACAUCAAUCCACAAGCAUAGGUAACAUUCCAUGGUACCUAUGCUUGUGAUCCUCCAGCCCUUGGGACAAACUGGGUGAUACUAGCCGGGUCCCAAGACACCCAUGGAUACUUUUUGGAAGCUUUUCGGUCAUGGGUGCAUUCGGGAGAGUCAUUCCCAGUUUUUUAGGAAAGCUGAUGCCUCCUCCAUCGAAUUAAGGACAUGCGCAGUCCCGGAGUGGGUUACCACCAAAGAGCCAUUAGCUCCC